GGGGGUGAAAAGGUUUCGACUUGGAAAGGAAGUAUUCAUGGCAUGCAGAGGGUUCGGUUGGCCUCUUAAAAAAGCCGAGAAAAACAUAACUGGCAAAACACCAGAGAGCAAAAUUAUCGCAGGUCCUUUUGGAUUUGUAGGUAACGGAGCACUACAAGCUGCUUAGAGUCUAACGACUUUAAAAAGCCGAUGAUCUAUUAUUGGACUAAGGGUUUUAGAUACAUCGUUAUAUACUUAGUAUGAGCGCGGAGUUUUGUUCUUUUUUUAAGCGUUUCGAGAAAUCAAGGGGAAUAAAGUUAGUUUUCAGUGCGGUGCCUGCCAUCGGAAUUAGCUUUUAAAAUUUGUAGGCACUAAGCAUGUAGGCAUUUGUACGGAAUUUACUAAGGACGAGAGUUCGACUCUCUCCACCUCCAAAU
rnacentral:tmRNA from 1 species